rnacentral:misc_RNA from 1 species
AAAUAGUCCUAACAUCCUUAGGUCCAUGCAAGAGCUUUGAAAUCAAAUGGGAAACCUUAUGACUACAGGAAACAACCUAGUAAUUCAAAUUCACAUUCAAACUUAGAGGCCUUAAGUUCAAAGCACUAGAAUUAGAGCUUGGAUCUAUUAGAGACAUAAAAUUAUUAUUGUGGCCUUCACCUACAACAUUUGGGUUGAGUAGUUUCUUGAUAUUUUAUUAGAGUUUCUUAGACCAAAAAGUCAAGCGUUCGAAUCUAGCCACCCUCAUUUAUUAAUUAAACAUUUCAGCACAGGGUGA